AUUGAACGCUGGCGGCAGGCCUAACACAUGCAAGUCGAACGCGUGGCGGAAGUGUGAGAAAUGUAUGGGAAACUGCCUGAUGGAGGGGGAUCACUACUGGAAACGGUAGCUAAUACCGCAAACCAACGGAUGUGCAAAGAUGGGAUUAGCUAGUAGGGGGGGUAAAGGCUCACCAAGGCGACGCUCCCUAGCUGGUCUGAGAGGAUGACCAGGGACACUGGAACUGAGACACGGGCCAGACUCCUACGGGAGGCAGCAGUGGGGAAUAUUGGACAAUGGGCGCAAGCCUGAUGCAGCCAUGCCGCGUGUAUGAAGAAGGUCUUCGGGUUGUAAAGCACUUUAAGCGGGGAGGCGUUACCCGCAGAAUAAGCACCGGCUAACUCCGUGCCAGCAGCCGCGGUAAUUC
rnacentral:rRNA from 1 species